AUCAUGGCUCAGGAUGAACGCUAGCUACAGGCUUAACACAUGCAAGUCGAGGGGCAGCAUUAUCGAAGCUUGCUUUGAUAGAUGGCGACCGGCGCACGGGUGAGUAACGCGUAUCCAACCUUCCCAUCACUCAGGGAUAGCCCGCCGAAAGGCGAAUUAAUACCUGAUGGUCUCCUUUGCAGACAUCUAACGAGGAGUAAAGAUUUAUUGGUGAUGGAUGGGGAUGCGUCUGAUUAGGUAGUAGGCGGGGUAACGGCCCACCUAGCCGACGAUCAGUAGGGGUUCUGAGAGGAAGGUCCCCCACAUUGGAACUGAGACACGGUCCAAACUCCCACGGGAGGCAGCAGUGAGGAAUAUUGGUCAAUGGACGGAAGUCUGAACCAGCCAAGUAGCGUGCAAGGAUGACGGCCCUAUGGGUUGUAAACUGCUUUUGUGCGGGAAUAAAGUAUGGGACGUGUCCCAUUUUGCAUGUACCGCACGAAUAAGGACCGGCUAAUUCCGUGCCAGCCGCUGC
rnacentral:rRNA from 1 species